GUUUUGAAUAGCCGCCAUCUUUGCUGUUUCCUGUUUGUGGUCGUUUCCUGAUUAUCGUGAAGUGUCGCCAAACAAUAAUCCUGCAUAAAAUUAAGAGAUAAAAAUCACUGCAACAAAUGUGUUUGCCAUAAAUUAAUCACAUCCUAGCGCUUGCUUAACUAGUAAUAGACAGAAUCUUGCAAACCACGAAGUGGGUGUGAGCACAAGAACACCAGCUUUUCGCAAGACAUGCCGGUCAGAAAACAAGAUGCAUUGCAUUCCUGUUUAUCAUGAAUAUGUAUAUAAUCAGUGUAUAAAAGGCACAUUGUUAUAACCACGUUAUAUAUUACAAUAGUCACUAUUGUAAUGUAUCUGGGAUUUCUGGUCAACCAGUUAUUGCUUAUUAUCUUUUCAAUCACAUAUAGACUUGUGUCAAAAAAGAACAAAUGUAGGUUAAAAUUCAUAAAUAAAAUAGUCUUAAUGUGCAGUAAAUAUAUGGUAUCGUGUCCGUAAGC
rnacentral:lncRNA from 1 species